UUUCAGUUUGCGCCAGACUAGCUGAGAGGAGGAGCUUGAGACCUGUAUAUUGUGUGGAGGAGACUGCAUGUGACAGAGCCUUAUAUUUUUGUUGUUUAUUUGUACAGUCUGCACCAGGCUCGCUGAGAGGAAACAAAUUUGCUGUUUCGCCUUUAUUAAAAGA